UUUACGUUUAAUAUUUUUACUACUUCCAGUGUUUCGGGAGAUUUCUAUUCUCUGAUGUUUUAAGACAAAUGUCGAGAAGGUUUGGAAAUGCAUAGAAAUCACGCGCUUUUGAAACCCCAUCGAUGGUAAACUUCGUUAGAAUUUUCCUCCACGGAAGAGAAGAAGAAGAGCACCAGAAAGUAGAUUCUUUGGUCUCCUUGCGCUUUCAGGUUUCUGUAUUUACAGAAACGCUAACGAAUUUACACAGUUAGUUGACUUUGACCUCCUCUUCUUUUUUACUCGGCUUUUUAUCUUCGUUCUUCUCGCCCUCUGUAUUUUCCGUGUUACGGCUUCCAUCACUCCUACACGUGUCUCCUCUGUACACCUAAAUUCCUAGAAUGAUUCAACGGAAUGACAUUAAUUACUUCACCAAACACCUAUUUCCUUUUAAGGUGCACGUACCAUCGAGCCGUUACUUUUUGCCUUGCUCGUUUCGCGUUUUCACAGCUUUUAAUCUUCUUGGGACGCGCUAAGUUUGCCAAGAAAUUAGCUAGUUGUUUUACUUUAAUAAAAAUGACCUUCCUUCAGGAGUUAAGAAGAUUUUUGCGAAUAACUGUAUUCAGUAGCAAGCAUAUGAGUUACGAAUGGACUGCGGAUGUUCGUAAUCUUCAAGUAGUUUUUCCUUUUUCUAUUUACAAACUAAAUAAAAAUUUCAUAAUAGCCAUCUUCACGAUGGUCUCGUUAAUUCUCUUAGAAAGGAAACAAAUUGAAGUUACGUACUUCAUUGUUCAAGCUAUUAAAUCCUUUUAUCAGUUGGCACCCUGUUGGCUACCCUGUAAAUAGGGAAAGUCCCUAUACCAGAUUCGGUCCUGUACGCUCCUCAUUGUACAUGAAAAUUCGUGUAACGCUAUACGUGAAGCAGAAAAGUACAGUAAUAGAGGAGAAUAACAGAUGAGAUAGCAACUAUAGUUGCACGCAAAAGUAUUUGUACGUUUACCAUAGAAAACUUUUACGUCCAUAUUGUACGUGUUAUAUAAAACAUUUUGAAAUUUCAUUAGCGCCGUAACGAAGGUCGACCGCCAUGAUCGUAUUGGUAAAGUUUAAACAGAUCUGGAAAUAUACAUUAGAAACUACAAAAUAUUUAAUGCAGGUAUAUAUUUCACAGACAACAGAGAAGUAUUUGAGCAGCCAAUUAUUCAUUGUACAAAUAGUCCUAAAUAUUCUGUGUGGCCAUCUUUAACACGUAUUAUAUGUUUAAAGUGGCUGUUCGUACAACGUAUUAAUUCUUUACUAAGUAUAUAUUUGUAGUAAAUUGCUCAGAGUAAGUUCCUUCCCAAUUUAUUAGAAGAUAACCUAAAUCAUAUUAAUCCCUAGACCAGGAAGACCAACAGGGGAAAUAACUUCGUACAUGCCAAUAAGCUUACUGUAACUUCUAUAUGAAUUUUGCGAUUGAUCUCAAAUCUGACCGAUAUGAUGGAAACAAUCAUGUCUGAUUACGGUACUGAAGAAAUUCAAGAUAUUCUGUAUGACACGUGCAAUACAAAUGUACAAGUUUUCUAUGGCAAGCGUUUAAAUAUUUUCAUUAGCCGCUGCAUAGAGACGGAAGUACGUGCAUGUAGGAAUAGAUACUAAAUAUAGGAAUGCAGAAAGAACGUUAGACGGAAGGAAUAUACAGACACAGAAGCAGAAAGAGGCAGAGAUCGCGUUUCAGUGACUAACACCGUUGAAAGUUCGAACGUGGCCAGCCUUGUAUCCGCGAUGCGUACGUGACAAGAGGCCAGGCACGUGGCAAAACCGUAAAAAAGUGGGGAUCGUGGUUGGUAUAAUUCGCAGUCGAAUACCGACCUUGAGCAGACAAAACUUUUUAGCCUUUACCCGUAAUAAAUCCACCGCUUUCUGCGAUAAGUGUUUUCGCGUUUAAACUACUAAUGAACUCCAGACCGAACGAAGCAACAGCAAAAAAAGAAAAGAAAAGAGAAAAAACUGUAGCGAAGUAAUUUCGGAAACUUUUUCUUCCCUCGAAAGCGAGGACGUUUAUAUAGGAAUCAAUUCCGAUACGCUGUUUUAUCGACCGAUAAAAUAGUCGUGAUAUUAAUGGCUUCGCGUAGAUAUCUCUUUACAUAGCCUUUACCGAGAGUCGAUCGAUGUUUCUCUCUUAUUAUGAUACGAUUUUAUGUAGAGCAUAAAAGUUAUAUAGAUUUUAUCGUGAAUAGAAAUGGCCACUCAAAGUCUCGGCUAAUCACGAGCUGACGUAAUCGUCAUUUACGCAUGGUUAUAUGGACCUAACCUAUAAAAAACCUUGUAAAGGGAUUUCACAGUACACGUUGUCUCGAUGAGAUUUUACAUUUAUUUAUUUACUUGUUUAUGACUUGAAACAGCUUUUAACAUCUAGUACAAUUACAUAGAUCUCACAACUUUAAUACCUUUAAUAUGACAAAAAGAUUGAACACUGAAUUAUUAGGUGAUCUUUAACUUUUCUACUCCCAGUUAAGCCCCUAUCCUGUAAAUUAAGUUCCUAAGGAAAUCAUGUAUUAUAAGGAUCGUAUAAAAGUAAUCGUAUCACACGUAUGCUUUAAUGUAAAGCAAUUAUACUGAAUAUUCCAAAUGAAUACAAACAUUUACGAAAUCGAAUUGAUCCCCAUUUUCCUUGGGCCAGCAACAGUCAGUACAAAGAGUAGUCUGUGUUGCAAUUCGCUCGACGUAGUUCUUGCUGUAAUUUAUGGUGCCUCAACAUUGCCUUAUAGUCCAACUUUAGAAUGUCUUGCCUUUAAUAUGUACCGUUUCUUUCACCAACAGCAUCUCAUUUCCUCGCGAUACAAAUUAUAGGAACAGUAUUGUUUUUUGUAAGAAGAACUUUUCCAUUUUUUCUCCUUGAAAUAAUCUACAAUUUGUUUGUAUAGUUAGCCUCUUUUACAGAGUAUUAGAAGACAAAUAAGAAAAAU